rnacentral:rRNA from 1 species
AGUGAACGCUGGCGGCGUGCCUAAUACAUGCAAGUCGAACGGAGUGGCGCACGGGUGAGUAAUAUCUAGCUAAUCUGCCCCUUGCUGGAGGACAACAGUUAGAAAUGACUGCAAAUACUCCUUAGCAAGGGAUGAGACUAUAUCGUAUCAGCUAGUCGGUGGGGUAACGGCCUACCGAGGCUAUGACGCGUAACUGGUCUGAGAGGAUGAUCAGUCACCUUGGAACGGAGACACGGUCCAAACUCCUACGGGAGGCAGCAGUAGGGAAUAUUGCGCAAUGGGGGAAACUCUGACGCAGCAACGCCGCGUGGAGGAUGACACGUUUCGGAGCGUACACUCCUUUUGUUAAGGAAGCGGUACCUAACGAAUAAGCACCGGCUAACUCCGUGCCAGCAGCCGCGGUAAUAC